GACGAACGCUGGCGGCGUGCUUAACACAUGCAAGUCGAACGGAAAGGCCCUGCUUUUGUGGGGUGCUCGAGUGGCGAACGGGUGAGUAACACGUGAGUAACCUGCCCUUGACUUUGGGAUAACUUCAGGAAACUGGGGGUAAUACCGGAUAGGAGCUCCUGCUGCAUGGUGGGGGUUGGAAAGUUUCGGCGGUUGGGGAUGGACUCGCGGCUUAUCAGCUUGUUGGUGGGGUAGUGGCUUACCAAGGCUUUGACGGGUAGCCGGCCUGAGAGGGUGACCGGCAAAAUUGGGACUGAGAUACGGCCCAGACUCCUACGGGAGGCAGCAGUGGGGAAUAUUGCACAAUGGGCGGAAGCCUGAUGCAGCAACGCCGCGUGCGGGAUGACGGCCUUCGGGUUGUAAACCGCUUUCGCCUGUGACGAAGCGUGAGUGACGGUAAUGGGUAAAGAAGCACCGGCUAACUACGUG
rnacentral:rRNA from 1 species